rnacentral:rRNA from 1 species
GACGAACGCUGGCGGCGUGCCUAAUACAUGCAAGUCGGGCGGGCUUAUUCGAGUAGCUUGCUAUUUGGAUAAGUCAGCGGCGGACGGGUGAGUAACACGUGGGUAAUCUGCCUCGUAGUCUGGGAUAACAAGCCGAAAGGUUUGCUAAUACCGGAUGAGUUCAUGUUAUUGCAUAGUGACAUGAAGAAAGGGGAGACCCGCUAUGAGAUGAGCCCGCGUCCCAUUAGCUAGUUGGUGGGGUAAAGGCCUACCAAGGCGACGAUGGGUAGCCGGCCUGAGAGGGUGGACGGCCACACUGGGACUGAGACACGGCCCAGACUCCUACGGGGGGCAGCAGUAGGGAAUCUUCGGCAAUGGGCGGAAGCCUGACCGAGCGACGCCGCGUGAGGGACGAAGGCCUUCGGGUUGUAAACCUCUGUCUGGGGGGACGAGUAAGGACGGUACCCCGGAGGAACGCCCGGCUAACUACGUGCCAGCAGCCGCGGUAACCUCCGUCGUCUCUACGUGACGGCGGCGGGACGACGGCCG